AAAAUCAUAUGGAGUGCAACGUCACACACAGCCCCUGCCUCAAAGAGCUUACAACCUAGAGUCAAGCCAGGCAAAGCAAGCAGUGUUAUCCUCAUUUUAAAAGGUGGGGAACUGAGGAACAGAAAGAUUCAUGACUUGCCCAGGGUCUCUCAGGAAGUCUGUGGCAGAGCUAGGAACUGAGCUCAGAUCUCCUGAGUCCCGGUCCAGUGCCUUAUCCACCAGGCCAGCCAUCCACGCUGGAAUGAAUAAGUAAGAGGAACUGCCUGGGAGGAGCUAAAAAAAGUUCUAAUAAUUUACAGGUUCUGAUAGUUUUACCAGACAAAACUCUGUCCCCCCCAACCCCCUUCACUUUUGACUACUACUCUCAACACUAAAAUGACGAUAUAAGCCAGAGAACAGGAGGCCCAGAUAUACUAAAGGGAGUAAAAUCCCUAAGUACAUUGUAGGAGUUAAACCAAGUCUCACUCUGCUGAGCUGGAGAUGGCGGUGAGGCGAGUACCUUCCCCCUGAGGUCUGAACUCCCGAAACAAGCAACUUUACUCUCUUGGUAACAGUGAAGGGAUUCAGGUUGAAGUUUCUGCAAGUAACACUGGCUCUCUCUGUUUUUAUCUGCAGCCAUCCAUACCUCCACCUCCACUGGAAGGCCCCCAGUGACAACAGAGCAGCCCAGCGGGGCUGCUUCCACAUCCAUUACCCUCUCUAUAAGCAGCAACGACACUCAUGGACUAUCCCAGCUCAGCAACGUCCAUUUCUUGCUCCUGGUCAUCUGGAAAGUCCCCAUCUUUCUUUGCAUCAUCUGGGUGAACAUACGGUACAGGAAGAACUCCAGGGAGAUGCCAGACAGACCUGCUCCUUCCUAGUUUAGGAAUGGAUCAGAACCAGCAGAAGAAAGAUUGAGCUCCCAGCUCUGCACAGCAGCUACUCCCACCUAGAGCCCACGUGGAUCUGUGUAAAUGAAAUCCUGUAACAGUCAGCCCGGCUGAAGGGUUCAGUGGAUCCAGAGCCUACUCCAGAGUGAGGAGAAAGGAGGGGAUGAGCCCCAAGGGGCACAGUUCCCCAUCAUGAACAUAGAGGAAAUAUAAGGUAUCAGAGCCUGAGAGCUGGAAGAAGAGACUCAUCCCCUUCCCAUAGUUUGAUUUUGGCUCUUUGCAGCUGGAUUGCACUUUCUACAGCUCCUUUUCCGUCAUUCAUCUUCACCCCUCCGGUCUCUUCUACAGCAAGCUCCUGGGAAUGACUCAAACAUAAUCACAGACAUGCACACAGAGAGCUUAGCCUCAGAUUGUAUGUCGAAAGUGGUCAUCUCACUUACUGCUAACCUGUAACACACGGCACCAAUGAAAUGUGUUUUGCAAUAAAGCUUUUUCCUCGUGUUCUGCAGAGCGGCUCUCCUGGAGACAUCUGUCUGGCUCUCUGCCCCUCUGGCAGGCAGGUAUCUGAAUCCUUAGCACUUACUGGUGUCAGAGAGAAAAAUCCCUGCUGGAAGCUGCAUGAGUGUGACAGGAGAGUCCUACUGAGAAGAACAAGUGAGAAAGAGCUGCCCGUGGGAGAGAGGGUGGGAACAAAAAGCCAAAGUCACAGCAGGCGUAAGCCACUGUGGCUCCAAUGCAGAGGUGAAAGUAAGCUGG